AUUGAACGCUGGCGGCAGGCCUAACACAUGCAAGUCGAACGAGAGGCGGACGGGUUAGUAAUGUCUCUGAAUCUGCUCGAUGGAGGGGGUUAACUACCGGAAACGGUAGCUAAUCCCGCAUACCAUCGGAUGUGUCCAGAUGGCAUUAGUUUGUAGGUGGGGUAACGGCUCACCAAGGCCACGAUCCGUAGCUGGGGUGAGAGGAUGACCAGCCAAACGGGAACGGAGACACGGUACAGACUCCUACGGGAGGCAGCAGUGGGGAAUAUUGGACAAUGGGCGCAAGCCUGAUGCAGCCAGGCCGCGUGUGUGAAGAAGGCCUUCGGAUUGUAAAGUACUUUAAGCGGGGAGGCGUUACUAGCAGAAGAAGCACCGGCUAACUUCGUGCCAGCCGCCGCGGUAAUAC
rnacentral:rRNA from 1 species